CUUUCACAUAUGGUAGAUUUAUGAUCGGCUCUUUAAGACUGUGAUUAAUGUGGUGUGACGAUAGCAGUUUAUCCAUCAGUAAGCAGCUUUACAAAAGUCGCACGUCUUUACGAAAAAGUUGCAUGUUCUUUUAAAAAGUCGUAUAAGAUAAGCAUGGUCCACACUGGAGUGAUUUUGCGAAUUUUUUUG